ACUACGUGCCAGCAGCCGCGGUAAUACGUAGGGUGCGAGCGUUGUCCGGAAUUACUGGGCGUAAAGAGCUCGUAGGCGGUUUGUCGCGUCGGCUGUGAAAUCCCGCGGCUCAACUUCGGGCUUGCAGGCGAUACGGGCAGACUUGAGUGUUUCAGGGGAGACUGGAAUUCCUGGUGUAGCGGUGAAAUGCGCAGAUAUCAGGAGGAACACCGGUGGCGAAGGCGGGUCUCUGG
rnacentral:rRNA from 1 species